GCUUGUCUCAAAGAUUAAGCCAUGCAUGUCUAAGUAUAAAUAGUAUACAGUGAAACUGCGAAUGGCUCAUUAAAACAGUUAUAGUUUAUUUGAUAAUUGAAAAUUACAUGGAUAACCGUGGUAAUUCUAGAGCUAAUACAUGCUAUCAAGCCCGACUUUUUGAAGGGUUGUGUUUAUUAGUUACAGAACCAACCCAGGCUCUGCCUGGUCUUGUGGUGAUUCAUAAUAACCGAACGAAUCGUAUGGCAUCAGCUGGCGAUGAAUCAUUCAAGUUUCUGACCUAUCAGCUUCCGACGGUAGGGUAUUGGCCUACCGUGGCAAUGACGGGUAACGGAGAAUUAGGGUUCGAUUCCGGAGAGGGAGCCUGAGAAACGGCUACCACAUCUAAGGAAGGCAGCAGG
rnacentral:rRNA from 1 species